rnacentral:lncRNA from 1 species
AUAAGAUGUAAUCACUCCAGAGAGCUAUGAAGGGCUGUGAGAAGCUGAUAUCUUUAUUUGCAUUUUUAAAGUUGAAUAUUUGCUUUUAGUGGACAGGAAUGUGGGACUGGAGCUGGAAUUCAUUCUGCCCCUUCAAGCUGUUCUUCUCCCAGGCUUGUCCCUGCACUGAGGCAUGGUGAGAGCUGCUGCUGCUGAGGAUGGUGCAGUCAGACAGGUUCCUCACAGCUGGAUCCUGUGCAGGUCGAUAUGCUCUGCUGUGAAUGACCCAAACUGGAUUGACUUUUCACUAAAAACUAAAUCACAGAUCUGGUGUAUGGCCAUGCAAACCUUGUUGCAGACUGGAUCCAGGAAGAUCUUUGGGUCUGCUAGCAGCAACUCUUCUGCUUCUGUCCUUGAAGAAUUUUCAUAACUGAAGCAACACAGCUGUCAAGGUAGAAGAAAAUGAACCAACAUGUUUCCUCAGACGCACAGCUACAAGCUUCUUAAACUGAUCUUCACUUCAGCACAAGCCGCAGAAGCUUCACACUCAGCAGAGAAUUCCCAAUGAGGCCUUGGGAACACUCAGCACCUGCCUUCAACAAAUUAAUCCCUCAGGAGAUAAGAAUCCAACAUCUUAGAAGGAAUGAAAACCUUUUACUCCAUCAACUCUCUCCCACAAGGUACAUCUUGCUAUCACAUCCCUACAUCCAGAGCUGCAGAGGAGCUUUCUCAAACCCUAAAACUCUGCAGAGAACACCUGAAAUUUUGCUUGACUCUAACCUCAAGGUACAGGAAACUCACCUUUUAUACCUCUGUUUUCCAGUGGUUUGUCUACAACCCCCUGGAGGUACUUUGGCUGUUUCUAGGGAAGGCAGGAAAUAUAGCUAACAAAAAUAAAUCUGUACUCACUAGUCUUAUAUUUGCA